rnacentral:tRNA from 2 species
GCGGGGAUGGAGCAAAAGUGGCUCAUAGGCCUCAUAAGCCUAAAAUCAGUGAGUGCAAUUCUCACCCCCGCCACCA